rnacentral:rRNA from 1 species
UACGUAGGGGGCAAGCGUUGUCCGGAAUUAUUGGGCGUAAAGAGCGUGUAGGCGGCCAGAUAAGUCCGCUGUGAAAUCUCGAGGCUCAACUUCGAGCUGUCGGCGGAAACCAUCUGGCUAGAGUCCGGAAGAGGAGAAUGGAAUUCCCGGUGUAGCGGUGAAAUGCGCAGAUAUCGGGAAGAACACCCGUGGCGAAGGCGGUUCUCUGGGACGGUACUGACGCUGAGACGCGAAAGCGUGGGGAGCGAACAGG